UCGAGAAUCUUCGGCAAUGGGCGAAAGCCUGACCGAGCGACGCCGCGUGCGGGAUGAAGGCCCUCGGGUUGUAAACCGCUGUCAGUGGGGAGGAAGGCUCUGUGAAGAGCAGAGUUUGACCUAUCCGCAGAGGAAGUCCGGGCUAAGUUCGUGCCAGCAGCCGCGGUAACACGAACCGGACAAACGUUAUUCGGAAUCACUGGGCUUAAAGGGUGCGUAGGCGGCCUGACAAGUUGGGUGUGAAAUCCCUCGGCUCAACCGAGGAAUUGCGCUCAAAACUGUUGGGCUUGAGGGAGUUAGAGGUGAGCGGAACUUAGGGUGGAGCGGUGAAAUGCGUUGAUAUCCUAAGGAACACCAGUGGCGAAAGCGGCUCACUGGAGCUUUUCUGACGCUGAGGCACGAAAGCUAGGGGAGCGAACG
rnacentral:rRNA from 1 species